GACGAACCGUGCGAACGUUGUUCGGAAUCACUGGGCUUAAAGGGCGCGUAGGCGGCCGCGUUAGUCUCGGGUGAAAUCUUUCGGCUCAACCGGAAACGUGCCUGGGAUACUGCGCGGCUGGAGGGAGGUAGGGGCGGACGGAACUUCCGGUGGAGCGGUGAAAUGCGUUGAUAUCGGAAGGAACGCCGGUGGCGAAAGCGGUCCGCUGGACCUCUACUGACGCUGAGGCGCGAAAGCCAGGGGAG
rnacentral:rRNA from 1 species